rnacentral:rRNA from 1 species
UACGUAGGUGGCAAGCGUUGUCCGGAUUUACUGGGCGUAAAGGGCGUGCAGGCGGUUUGUUAAGUCUAGGGUGAAAGCUCCCGGCUCAACUGGGAGAGGUCCUUGGAUACUGGCAGACUUGAGGAGAGUAGAGGAGAGUGGAAUUCCCGGUGUAGUGGUGAUAUGCGUAGAUAUCGGGAGGAACACCAAUUGCGAAGGCAGCUCGCUGGGACGUAACUGACGCUGAGACGCGAAAGCGUGGGGAGCAAACAGG